rnacentral:lncRNA from 1 species
CCCGGAUGAUCUGGGUAGAUUCAAUGUAGUCACAAGGUCCUUGACAGAGGAAGAGGGGACAGAAGAGUCAAUGUCAGAGUGAUGCCACCGGAGGAAAAAAACCUAAGUGGUCCUAGCUGGCUUGAAGAAGAAGAAGGUCCCCGAGCCAAGGAAACACAGAUGGCCUGUAGGUAGCUGGGAUAGGCCAGAAAACAGACUCUUUCUGAGCCUUCAGAAAUAAACAUCUGUGCUUGAAUUUAGCCCAGUGAGACCUGUGAAGAACUUCCAAUCUACGGAACUGUAAGAAAACUUUAUGUUGUUUCAAGUUGCAAAACUUGUGAUAAUUUGUUCCAGGAGUAUUAGAAAUGAAUACAAAGGCUCACUGGAUUUAACUCAGACAGGCUGGGGAAAUACAGAUAAACAAAAACACCUGAGGAGGGAUUCUUUUCCUUUCUUCUGACUUUUUUUUUUUUUUUCUUUUGAGAAAAGGCAGAGUGGGUCUCUGGAAUGUCCCACAGAGAGGCUUGAGAAGGCUGAGUGUUCAAGGCCCACAAGCAAGGGCUGUGGGUUCCUGUCCUUCUGCCUUUUGGUAGGGUGAGCCAGGAAGGCAGCCCCAUCAGUGGAAGAUGGCUUGGAUCCACUGGGACCUUCUGCAUAUUCAUGUGUUCAACGUUUAUCAAGUGCCUGCUGAAUACCAGCAGUGUGCUGGGGUACUAAGAUGAACAGCAUCCUUGGGACUUGUCAUUUAAUGGGGAGAGAGGCCAGCACACUACACUUAAGGUAGCCUGCCUCAGUAACAGCAACAACAAUAACGACCAGAGGUGAAAGAACCUAGGAGGCCUUAGGAAUUGGGUUUUGAUGGGUGAGUGAAAAGCCAGUGCCAUUCACUGCAAGGGAAAUACAGGGAAGAAGACUCCCAGUCAUUUGGAAUGCCUUAGAAACUGCUGGACUUCUACGUGAAACUAAAUGGGCCACCUUCUCUGCAACUUCUCCAGGAGCUACCUGCCUACACCAUUGGGUCCUGCUUACAGGGUGGAGGUCUCUGGUCCAAAACCACACCUGGCCUCGCAUCCUUCUAAUGAUAAUCCCCACAGAGUUCCAGGUGUUCAGCCCAGUGACUGAUUACAAGCCCUGCCGAGUUCAGAGGGACAAGAUGGAGGCUAUAUAUAAACCCGACAAAGUUUCAAAAGGUAAAAAGACGCAUGACCGAUUAUGAAAGCUUACAUUGCUCCAGGAGAGGGCUGAAGGUUUUAUUUCUGCCCUGGCGGAUACCUGGCCUUUGUUCCUUCUUGGAAGGCAGGGAGGUGCUGUGGCCACAGUUCCCCAUCUGUGAAAUGGGGUGAGAUUAUCAACCCAGUGGGAAUUUGUCUGUGUGAGGCACCUUUAGAAGGCCCCAGGGUCCAACA